AGGAAGAGCAGUUGGAGAUGUUCUGGACCUAUCCAGGAAAUGGAGCAGGUUAACGAUUUUAAGAACCACCUACUUCCCCUUUCCCACAUCAAGAAGAUCAUGAAAAGGAUGUCCUCAUGAUCUCAGCUAAAAAUAAGGACAUUCAAGGCCUACAAUUCCAUAGGCAGCUAAAAAUAAGGACAUUCAGCUUGUGCCUGGAAAACUGAAAUCGGGAACAAAAAUCACAAAAUAAAAAUGGAACUGGAAAUAACUUUUCACCAUCUCCACUGCUCCCUCCCCAAAAAAUCCACGGGGGAAGGCUUCUUUAUGGAAAGAAUAAUCGCAACAUAAUUUAGUUUCUUUCCUGUCAAAGCAUAAGAUCUUUCAUCUACAAACUCAUCAAAAAGCAUUUUUCAUCUUCAAAUUAG
rnacentral:lncRNA from 1 species